rnacentral:rRNA from 1 species
ACUCGAGUGGCGAACGGGUGAGUAACACGUGGGUGAUCUGCCCUGCACUUCGGGAUAAGCCUGGGAAACUGGGUCUAAUACCGGAUAGGAGCCAUUUUUAGUGUGAUGGUUGGAAAGUUUUUCGGUGUAGGAUGAGCCCGCGGCCUAUCAGCUUGUUGGUGGGGUAAUGGCCUACCAAGGCGGCGACGGGUAGCCGGACUGAGAGGUUGGUCGGCCACAUUGGGACUGAGAUACGGCCCAG